CGAAAGCCUGACGGAGCAAUACCGCGUGAGGGAUGAAUGCCUAUGGGUUGUAAACCUCUUUUUUCAGGGAGGAAUAAAUGACGUGUACCUGAAGAAUAAGCAUCGGCUAACUCCGUGCCAGCAGCCGCGGUAAGACGGAGGAUGCAAGUGUUAUCCGGAAUCACUGGGCGUAAAGCGUCUGUAGGUGGCCUAAUAAGUCAACUGUUAAAUCUUGAAGCUCAACUUCAAAAUCGCAGUCGAAACUAUUAGACUAGAGUAUAGUAGAGGUAAAGGGAAUUUCCAGUGGAGCGGUGAAAUGCGUAGAGAUUGGAAAGAACACCGAUGGCGAAGGCACUUUACUGGGCUAUUACUGACACUCAGAGACGAAAGCUAGGGUAGCAAAUG
rnacentral:rRNA from 1 species